UACAGAGGUCUCAAGCGUUGUUCGGAUUCAUUGGGCGUAAAGGGUGCGUAGGCGGCGUGGUAAGUCGGAUGUGAAAGCUCGGAGCUCAACUCCGAAAUGGCAUUGGAAACUACCUUGCUCGAGGGUUGGAGGGGGGACUGGAAUUCUCGGUGUAGCAGUGAAAUGCGUAGAUAUCGAGAGGAACACCAGUGGCGAAGGCGAGUCCCUGGACAACUCCUGACACUGAGGCACGAAAGCUAGGGGAGCAAACAGG
rnacentral:rRNA from 1 species